AUUUCCUGGAGGGUGUAGAACAGAAUGUCGUCCUUGUCGCGGUCCUCAGCCUGCAGUUGCGUCUCGGGGAUGACGGUGGAGUUCACUUUCGUGUCCUGGGGAGGGAGAGGGGCUUGGUCCGGCCACACUCUUGGCCCCUGUGGACCCCCACUGUGGUUGAGCCCCCGGCCACCACUCACCUCCUGCCCUCACCCUGGGCUCCCACACCCCCGUGCCCAGUCCCCGCGGCUUCGCUGGCCUCACCUCCUCCACCCUUAUCUCCUUGGUCUUAAAGGGGAAUUCGGGGGCAUUGUCAUUGACGUCCAGCACUGACACGAACACCCUUAGCUGGGUCACCUGCAGGAUGUGGCCGUCAGCCUCUCCCACAGCCCCUCCCCGUUGUGAGGUGCACCCCUCGACGGCUAUCCGUCCCCACCGUGAGUGAGGUGCACCCCUCAACGGCCACCUGUCCCCGCCCUAAGUGAGGUGCACCCCUCGACGGCCACCCGUCCCUGCUGUGAGUGAGGUGCACCCCUCAACGGCCACCCGUCCCCGCCGUGAGUGAGGUGCACCCCUCAACGGCCACCCGUCCCCGCCGUGAGUGGGGUGCACCCCUCGACGGCCAUCCGUCCACUCGCUCAUUCAGUUGUUGGGGGGCUACAGGGGCUGCACAGCUCUAGGCGUUGGGAUUCAGAGAUCACAAGAGACAAAUCUCUGCCUGGUGGUGCCUGUCCUGGCAGGACUUAUAACAACAGACAAAAAGGACUUUAUAAAGCCAGGAGGUGGCAGGUGCUCCACAGAAAAAUAAUGCAGGUACUUGGGGAUGCAGCCAGCAGAAUCUCAGGUGAGGAAAGACAAUC
rnacentral:lncRNA from 10 species